GGUUUCCCGGAGCUGCUCCGAGGCUGUUCCGGGGCUGUUCCAGGUUUCCAGGGCUAUUCCAGGGCUAUUCCAGGUUUCCAGGGCUGUUCCAGCUUUCCCGGAGCCGUUCGGGGCCGUUCCGCGGCUCCGCCGCUGCUCUAAGCCGGGAGAGGCGGAGCCGGCGGCUCUAAUUAAGCGCUGCUUUAAUUAAACAGGGAGGCGGAGAGGGCGGGGGAGCUGUGGGGGGAAGGAUCCGCUCUUUUUUUUCCGG